AUUGAACGCUGGCGGCAUGCUUUACACAUGCAAGUCGAACGGCAGCACGGGGGCAACCCUGGUGGCGAGUGGCGAACGGGUGAGUAAUAUAUCGGAACGUACCCGGAAAUGGGGGAUAACGUAGCGAAAGUUACGCUAAUACCGCAUAUGCCCUAAGGGGGAAAGCGGGGGAUUCGCAAGAACCUCGCGUUUUCGGAGCGGCCGAUAUCGGAUUAGCUAGUAGGUGAGGUAAAGGCUCACCUAGGCGACGAUCCGUAGCUGGUCUGAGAGGACGACCAGCCACACUGGAACUGAGACACGGUCCAGACUCCUACGGGAGGCAGCAGUGGGGAAUUUUGGACAAUGGGCGCAAGCCUGAUCCAGCCAUGCCGCGUGAGUGAAGAA
rnacentral:rRNA from 1 species